UAAUACAUGCAAGUCGAACGAAGGUCCCGAGCUUGCUCGGGAUACCUUAGUGGCGCACGGGUGAGUAACGCGUGGGAAUCUGCCCCGGAGCGGGGGAAUAACAGUUGGAAACGACUGCUAAUACCGCAUACGCCCUAAGGGGGGAAAGGCUUCGGCCCACUCUGGGAUGAGCCCCGCGUUAGAUUAGCUUGUUGGUGGGGUAAUGGCCCACCAAGGCUACGAUCUAUAGCUGGUCUGAGAGGAUGAUCAGCCACACUGGGACUGAGACACGGCCCAGGACUCCC
rnacentral:rRNA from 1 species